rnacentral:ncRNA from 2 species
UACGGAGGGAGCUAGCGUUGUUCGGAAAUACUGGGCGUAAAGCGAACGUAGGCGGCCAAGCAAGUCAGGGGUGAAAUCCCGGGGCUCAACCCCGGAACUGCCUUUGAAACUGCAUGGCUAGAAUCCUGGAGAGGCGAGUGGAAUUCCGAGUGUAGAGGUGAAAUUCGUAGAUAUUCGGAAGAACACCAGUGGCGAAGGCGACUCGCUGGACAGGUAUUGACGCUGAGGUUCGAAAGCGUGGGGAGCAAACAGG